ensembl:lncRNA LINC00472 long intergenic non-protein coding RNA 472
GAGGUGGGCAAGUUAGUUGCUCCAAAAACAAGAUAAAAUGAUUGAGUUCUUUUCUCAAGCGGGAGUCGGAGUUUAUCUGCUCUGAGGACACAGCAUGUACAACCUCACAUAGAGUUCCUGACCAGACAAGACUUGCUGGAAAUUUCCCAGGAUCUUCCUUCCUUAAGCAUCCAUCAUGGGAAGCCACCUUGCCCUAGGGAGAGCUCCUGACCUAGGGUCAGGAAUAUAUUAAGGAAGACAGCAAUUAAUACAUUCAAAAAUAAUAAUAAUUACAAAUUGAGGCAGCCUGCCUAGUGAUUAAGAGGAUGGACUCUAAAGCCAGACAGCCUGGAUUUGAUUCUCAGCUCUGCUGUGGAUUUACAACCUUGGGGAACUUGUCUGUGCCUUAGUUUUGAUGGAGUUCAGGACACAGUACUCCAAAAGAUGACAUCUUGGCAUAAUGAUUAAGAAAAUGGCAGGAGCGGCAGAAAGGUCUCUCUGACCUGGAAGGAAUUUUCUGACCUUCUGAAGCAGGUCCUAAAACUCUGAUGUGAGAGGUACCCUCCCUAUACCUGGGAGGAAGGAACAUCCUGUCUUCAAAGAUGAACACAGUGGCAUCUGAACAAACAGGCCUUGCCAAGUUUCCACCAGUUUACUACACUUACCUCAUACUCCACCUUAUAGUAUUUCUGCACAACUGUCCACACUUCUUCAAACCUGCUAUAAAAACCACUCCCAUUUCACAUUUGAACGCUUUCUUCAGGUCUUCAUUUCCUAAUGAAGGCUCCUGUGUUACAUAAAACUUAUAUGAAAUAAAUA